UUUGCCAUUGAAUUUAUUGUAAUCUUUCAAUUAACUAUUUUUAAAAUAACUUUUUUAGGUAUAAUUUGUGUGUAACUUUAAUUUCUGUGUAAAUGUGUUACUUUUACUGUAGUUUUCAAAUGGCUGUGUAUAGUGCUGUCUUGAACAUUUUCAGGUAUCGUCACAAAGAUCUGACUUUUUUUGCAUUGUUAAACACGGAAGUUUUAUUGUGCUUAUGUGUUGAUCCUUAAUGGUGUGAUUAUGUACACUAAAUUAUCAAUUAUUUUCCAUUAGAGGUUGUUCUGAUAUAUUUGAGGAGUCGUUCACCCUCUGUUCUAUAUGUGGACUCAUUUGGGACCACCUUUAGAAUUUGGUUGACCACUUGAAAUGUGAGAGUUUGAGGAGUUGUUCCCCCUCUGUCCAUGUUCGAGGACUUGCUCUCUCUCUGCCUUCAUUGCACCAAAGUUUGGCUGUUGAGUCUCCUCUAGUAUGGUUGACCACUUGACUUGUGAGAGUUUGAGGAGUUGUUCCCCCUCCGUCCAUUUUCAAGGACUUGCUCUCUUACUGCCUCCACUUCACCACUUUUUGGCUACUGAGACGUCUUUGAUUUGUUGAGUUCAUUCAUUCAUUCAUCAUCUACCGCUUAUCCUGUACAGAGAGCCAAUCACUCUGUCCCCUUUUGAAGACCUGCUUUGUCUCCUCCAUCAUUCAUUGGGCCACUUUUGGGUUCCUGAUCUUAUUUCAUGUGGUCAUGAAUUUGAUGAGGAGUGGAGCUGGCUGGCUGCGGACGAGGAAGUAGGGCAAUAUGUACAUGUGCACAUACACAUAAAUGAGAAUGCAUAUUUUUCAGAACUGUAAUUCAUGUCUUACAGUGCGUUCAGACCGGACGCGUAGCGAAUAUUCGCGUCGCGUUACUCGCGCGAAUUGAUACGCGCGAGAAUUGAAUUUAAUUCGCGUCACUCGCGCGAGUAACGCGACGCGAAUUUUCGCCCAAGAGACUAUUUAGCGCCAAAUAAUUGCCUCCAUUUCAUUCUGUCAUCAACCAUGGCUGACAUUACAAGCAUAGCGUCCCUGUACCUGCUCUGCCGUCGUGUCUGGGUGAGUGACAUCAUCCGGAGGCGCACUCAGCACGGAGAGAGGACCGCAGAGUACUUCCACCUUUUUCCCUCCUGCCGACCCACUCCUCCUUCCUGCCUCUUUUCUCCUCUCUCUCAUGUAUUUAUCUCGGACACUGUCGUCCAGAAUCUCAACGCUGAUAGGCUGUCCCGACACAGCGCCACGCGAAUAUUUCGCCAAAGUUGAAUUUAUUGAACUCACGCGAAUUCGCGUUGUUUCAUUCGCGCCGCGAAAUUCGCGUCAAUCGCGGCAUUCGUGUCGCGCGAAACCCGCGAUUCGCGCCGCCGGCAAAAAUUCGCGUCUAUUCGCGUGUUUGCAUUGACUUUGUAUGUAAUCUUGUCGCGCGAAAUAUUCGCUACGCGUCCGGUCUGAACGCACCGUUAGACUUUUUCAUACAGCUAUAGAUACAUUCCCCCCCAAAUCUCUGUUUAUGGUUUCAUAAUGACUAAGUCACUGUUAAAACAAAUGAGUUUCAGCUCUAAUGCUGCUUCUGUCUGUAAUAUGUUUCUAUUUAGAUUAUUUGUCAGGGUAAUUUGUUACUAUUGUCCGAGUCUGGUUUUAACUAUUGCUGGGCUAAGAUUUUCACAGUCACAGACUAAAAGGGUAGCAAGAGGGUUCUUCCCUUUAGCCUUGUCCUACCCCUAGUCUUGACAUAAUUUCUGUUGUGAUUUGACACUAAUGAAUAAAGACUGACUGAUUGAUUGCUAUAGUUGUCAAUAGUCCUUGAGUUCAUAGUUACGUGCUUUAUUUGUUAACUGCUAUCAAGGAAUAUGGCUCUCCUUUGUAGUAUG